rnacentral:lncRNA from 10 species
UUUGCUACUUCUGACAGUCGGGAAGCCACUGAUACACAGCAGGGUUGAACAUUCCUAAGAUUUCUUGUGCAGAGUAGUUUGACUUCAUGGCUUGCUGCCUCCUUCCGCUGUUCACAGGACUUCACCUUCUAUACCAAUGUGAUUUUGCUACUCCCUCUCCAAGAAGUGGAAUAUAUACUCUUUCUCCUUGACCCUGGGAAGAACUCUGACUGUCUCACCAAUAAGGAAUGACAGAAGUGGAGGUAGGUGACUUCCAAGCCUAGCUCAUAAGACUGUGCAGCUCCUGCCUGGCUUUCUUUUAAGAUGCUCACUCUUGGAACCCAGCCACCAUAAAGAAUCCUAGACGUAUAGGUCAGCAGACAGCUCCAAACGAAGUCCCAGACAAUAGCCACUAUUAAGUGUCAGCCAUAUAAGUUGGGGAGCCUUUGAGAUGACCACAGCCCAGGCACUGUCUACUCCAACUGCAUAAGAAACCCUGGGUAAUAACUGCCUAGCUAAGCCAAGUCAACCCCUCAAACCAUGAGACAUAAUAGUAAAGCAAUUGCUGUUGUUCUAAGCCACUAAAUUUUGAAAUAACUUAUCAGGAACCAUAGAUAAUUGAUACAGAUCAGCUGAAAUUUUUGUCUAGAACAGCUAGAAGUGGCUUCUUUAUGCAGCCUGGACUUCCUCACAGCAUGGUGGCUGGAUUUUAAGAGAACAUGUUCUAACAGUUCCAGGUGAAAGCUGCACUAUCCCUAUGAUCUAGUCUUGGAAGUUGCAUUGUGUCACUUUCACUGUAGUCACAGAUUCACUCAGAUUUAAGGAAAGGGAACACGGAUCCUGCCUCUCAGUGGGAUGGAGAUGGGUGUAAACAUCAUGUUAUAAGAGCAUGUAGGAUGAGAAAUUUUGUUAUAGCUGUCCUGAAAAAUACAAUCUUUACGUGGAACAUAAAUAAAUUGAUCUACAGCCGCUUUUAGAAUAAUGUCUGGCAGCAUUUAAUAUAUGCUAGUUAUUAUUCUUAUUGUUCCAAAAGUAUAAUGUAGGACUAAUGGUGUAAAAAAGAAAAGCAAUUGGGGAAUAAGGAAGUCAACGAGUAAUUGAAACAAGAAUAAAUGUGGAUUGUCCCAGGCAUCCUAGGAUACAAUUUCCCUAUGUUUGGCCUUAUUCCAUGUCUUGAUCCCCUUUCAUCCUCCAUAGGAGUAUCAUUGUUAUAAAAUUCAUUGCUAUGAAGUUCAUGUGCAUCCAUCUAGAAUGUUUCUUUGUAUUUACAUUUGUGAA